rnacentral:rRNA from 1 species
ACGAACGCUGGCGGCGUGCUUAACACAUGCAAGUCGAACGGAAAGGCCCUGCUUUUGUGGGGUGCUCGAGUGGCGAACGGGUGAGUAACACGUGAGUAACCUGCCCUUGACUUUGGGAUAACUUCAGGAAACUGGGGCUAAUAACGGAUAGGAGCUCCUGCUGCAUGGUGGGGGGUGGAAAGUUUCGGCGGUUGGGGAUGGACUCGCGGCUUAUCAGCUUGUUGGUGGGGUAGUGGCUUACCAAGGCUUUGACGGGUAGCCGGCCUGAGAGGGUGACCGGCCACAUUGGGACUGAGAUACGGCCCAGACUCCUACGGGAGGCAGCAGUGGGGAAUAUUGCACAAUGGGCGGAAGCCUGAUGCAGCAACGCCGCGUGCGGGAUGACGGCCUUCGGGUUGUAAACCGCUUUCGCCUGUGACGAAGCGUGAGUGACGGUAAUGGGUAAAGAAGCACCGGCUAACUACGUG